rnacentral:rRNA from 1 species
AGAGUUUGAUCCUGGCUCAGAACGAACGCUGGCGGCAGGCUUAACACAUGCAAGUCGAACGCCCCGCAAGGGGAGUAGCAGACGGGUGAGUAACGCGUGGGAAUCUACCGUACCCUACGGAAUAACGCAUGGAAACGUGUGCUAAUACCGUAUACGCCCUUAGGGGGAAAGAUUUAUCGGGGUAUGAUGAGCCCGCGUUGGAUUAGCUAGUUGGUGGGGUAAAGGCCUACCAAGGCGACGAUCCAUAGCUGGUCUGAGAGGAUGAUCAGCCACAUUGGGACUGAGACACGGCCCAAACUCCUACGGGAGGCAGCAGUGGGGAAUAUUGGACAAUGGGCGCAAGCCUGAUCCAGCCAUGCCGCGUGAGUGAUGAAGGUCUUAGGAUUGUAAAGCUCUUUCACCGAUGAAGAUAAUGACGGUAGUCGGAGAAGAAGCCCCGGCUAACUUCGUGCCAGCAGCCGCGGUAAUACGAAGGGGGCUAGCGUUGUUCGGAAUUACUGGGCGUAAAGCGCACGUAGGCGGAUAUUUAAGUCAGGGGUGAAAUCCCGCAGCUCAACUGCGGAACUGCCUUUGAUACUGGGUAUCUCGAGUAUGGAAGAGGUGAGUGGAAUUCCGAGUGUAGAGGUGAAAUUCGUAGAUAUUCGGAGGAACACCAGUGGCGAAGGCGGCUCACUGGUCCAUUACUGACGCUGAGGUGCGAAGGCGUGGGGAGCAAACAGGAUUAGAUACCCUGGUAGUC